GCCUCCAGUUAAGGAUAAAUUAUCAAAAUACCAGGUAUAAUUAUAUUGUUUUUAUAGGUGGGGGUGCCCUUAGAGUCUUCAUCAGCAGAGCUGGAUUCAGGCUUCUUCAGUCUGCAGAUCCAAAACCAAUUUCUGGAACAAUCUCUCGAAGAUCGAGUUGUCACAGAAAAGAGCUUGAUGGUGAAAUAUGCGACUAUUUUGAAGUCUCCUAACAUCGACUAUAGACUCUUGAAACCUGAUUGUUCCUUGACAAAUGGAGAAUGCUGAAGUUAAAAAAUGGGAGCAGUACACAAAUGGGAUUGAUGCAACUUUUCAAGAUCUUCACGGACGUUAAUUCCAUGAAUAACUGCAGGCCCAUAGUUUUUUGUUCAUAUUCAGUUAGUUCGUGACUACCAGAUUAGCUUAAGUUGCCAAUGAUGUCAGUGUGAGAAGCGUUACUUCUCCUUUGUUCUUUUAUUAUUAUUUUUUUCAUUGCCCCUCUUUGUUUGUAUCUAAUAUUGUUGAGAAGAGACAAGGAGUUGAAAAUUAAGUUUCAUGUUUCUUUUCCUAUGUUUAUCCUUCGAUUUGGGAACAGAAAACUCAUGGUGCCAGUAGGGGUUCUGUUGUACUGCAGAUCAUAAGCAAUUAUCUAAUUUAGAGGAAACAAAAUUUGUGAACAUUAUUGCAUUGAAUUUCAAUGUUUGUUGCAAGUAUCAGACUGGAUUGUUUGGUAAAUAUGCGAAUUCAGCAUUUAACUUAGAAAAAAAUAAAAACAAUUCGGAACAUUUAGCAACUUAAACAAUAACGUGAACAGCAAUGUCAAACAACUCUUAUGACGGUCAUGGAGUUGGCCCAUAAAAUGAGCAACUCCAUCGGUAAUCAUGAAUGAGACAGCAAAUUCUGGGCAUUCUCAAUUACCAUUCACACAGCAACUAAACUCCAUAUCCCCAUCAAAAAGAACAGAAAACUAGGACGUUGCAGCCAUAAAUCAACACUGCCAGAUGCCUGAGACGGUUGAGACUUUGAGACGCACCCCCAAACUUUACAAGAACAUGACACCAAGCAGUAACCUAAGAACAUUGAUGGCCGUAUAUGUUUGCAAAUCUACAUUGCCUUAACACAUCCUCAAUUAUUCCACUUCUUCAUCUGAAAAAUCUGCAACCCAUCAAAUCAAAAAUAAGAAAAAGCAAACCAUUGUAAUCACAACUCAGGUUUGAUGGACGGAUUCAGAACUAACCAACACAUCCCAGAAAAUAAUCUCUCUGUUCUUAACCAAAUCUGAAAUUUCUCUACCAAUUAGUCUUAGCAGCUCAAUGAUAUUGAAGUCUUAGCACAGCCGUAAAGUGUCAAAUUUGAUCGAACCCAAUCUGGUAUUUGAAAUCCUUAAUAUUUAACCUCAAUUCAGUAUAUAAAGGAAAAAAAAAAACCCGUACCCAUUCACCGGCGAUCACCGCCACUGCCACGUUCCUUCUCAAUCUGCUGCCUCUGCUUCUCGGCGAGUUUUUCAAGAGCCGACUGCACUGCAUCUCGGCCGCCAAUAAGUAAUCGGGUCACGAUUUCCGGAUCCUUCUCGAACCGUGCCUCUUCGAACUCCUUCCUAGCGUUCUCCUGCAAUACAUCUCUCCACAAAACACCUCGAGAAUCGGGCCACAUGAAGAACCGGGUUGCCCGAAGGAUGUCUCGGUACAGAUGCAGUGCCUCUCGUCGGUUGGUGGUGAAUCGCUGCCGAUUCAGCAACUCUUCCUCCUCGUCAUCCAGCGAUUUCUCCUUCUUCGCAACGUGCCGGUCUAACAAUUCCUAUAUGGUAUCUGGGCCAUUGUGUAAGAGACGCUGAUUUGAAACAACGGCGCGUAAACAUUGAUAGAUUUCGGCAUUUCUUCAGCUUCGUGCUCAUCGUCCUUCCUCUCUCCGCCUUCUGUUUCUCCGAAUCUCCGCUGCUGACGCAGCUUGGGAAAAAUUGGUAAAUGGAGAAAAUUUUUCCUACACUAUUCUAAUCUAUGUCCUUGCCCACCUUGUAGUGGCCGACUCUCAAUGGUAUUGUUUGUGCUGAGGAGAUCUGAGUCGCCCUUUCUUUGUAUGUCCUUGGCACCUCCAAGGUUCUGUUGCAUCUCUUUGGCUGCUUGGAUUCUAGAACAACCCACCCGAUUUUCAUUUCGAGGAUAAUUUUUAUGGAUGUUCUUGUGCUGGUUUUAACCUUGGUUGACCUUUCUGCUCUCUUAGGUGAAAUUACAUCCUCUGGUUGAUUGGUAUGGCGACAGGGGUUGGGCUUUCCUGAUACAAGCUACUUUUUUUCUUUGAAUUGAAUCAUGGAUGGAAAGAGUACUGCGGGCUUGGACUUUGUUAUUUCUAUUGUCUACUAGUCAGGCUGUAUUUGUUUGUAACCUGUUAUGUUUGGCUGUUAUGUUUGGUCUUUGGCCAUGUACUAUUUCUGCAUAUUAAUGAUAAAUAUCUUUC
rnacentral:misc_RNA from 1 species